rnacentral:ribozyme from 13 species
UGUCUUUCUCUUUUUCUUUUUUUUUCUUUUUUUCUCUAUCAUUCUCCCAUUAACCAUUCGAUUCUAUUUUGAAUGAAACUCCUUGCUCCAGGAAUGUAUGAAAUGGAAUACCAAAACAGUGCACAUG